GCUAGCGGCAGCUUAACACAUGCAAGUCGAACGGUAACUCUUGGUGCUUGCACCAAAAGACGAGUGGCGGACGGGUGCGUAACGCGUAUGCAAUCUACCUUUUACUAGGGUAUAGCCCAGAGAAAUUUGGAUUAAUCCCCUAUAAUAUCAUGAAAUCGCAUGAUUUUAUGAUUAAAGCUUCGGUGGUAAAAGAUGAGCAUGCGUCCUAUUAGUUUGUAGGUGAGGUAACGGCUCACCUAGACUACGAUAGGUAGGGGCCCUGAGAGGGGGAUCCCCCACACUGGUACUGAGACACGGACCAGACUCCUACGGGAGGCAGCAGUGAGGAAUAUUGGACAAUGGACGAAAGUCUGAUCCAGCUAUGCCGCGUGCAGGAUGACAGCCCUACGGGUUGUAAACUGCUUUUAUACAGGAAGAAAAACUCCGACGUGUCGGGGCUUGACGGUACUGUAAGAAUAAGGAUCGGCUAACUCCGUGCCAGCAGCCGCGGUAAUACGGAGGAUCCAAGCGUUAUCCGGAAUUAUUGGGUUUAAAGGGUCCGCAGGCGGUUUUUUUAAGUCAGAGGUGAAAUCCUACAGCUCAACUGUAGAAUUGCCUUUGAAACUGAAAGACUUGAGUUAUUGUGAAGUGGUUAGAAUGUGUGGUGUAGCGGUGAAAUGCAUAGAUAUCACACAGAAUACCAAUUGCGAAGGCAGAUCACUAACAAUUAACUGACGCUCAGGGACGAAAGCGUGGGUAGCGAACAGGAUUAGAUACCCUGGUAGUCCACGCCGUAAACGAUGGAUACUAGCUGUAUGUCUACCUCAGGUAGAUGUGUGGCCAAGCGAAAGUGAUAAGUAUCCCACCUGGGGAGUACGA
rnacentral:rRNA from 1 species